rnacentral:rRNA from 1 species
GACGAACGCUGGCGGCGUGCUUAACACAUGCAAGUCGAACGGUAAGGCCCUUUCGGGGGUACACGAGUGGCGAACGGGUGAGUAACACGUGAGUAACCUGCCCUCAUCUCUGGGAUAACAGUCGGAAACGGUUGCUAAUACUGGAUAUGAGCUUGCAAGGCAUCUUGUGGGUUGGAAAGAUUUUUUUUGGUUGGGGAUGGACUCGCGGCCUAUCAGCUUGUUGGUGAGGUAGUGGCUCACCAAGGCUUCGACGGGGAGCCGGCCUGAGAGGGCGACCGGCCACAUUGGGACUGAGAUACGGACCAAACUCCUACGGGAGGCAGCAGUGGGGAAUAUUGCACAAUGGACGGAAGUCUGAUGCAGCAACGCCGCGUGCGGGAUGACGGCCUUCGGGUUGUAAACCGCUUUCAAUUGUGACGAAGCUUUUUUGUGACGGUAGCAGUAGAAGAAGCACCGGCUAACUACGUG